GCUUAGAUGCUUCUUCGUCUGCAUCCUUUCCCCACCCACUUGAAGAAAAAAAAAGUUGUCUACCUCCCCCACCCACUCCCACUUUCAAAAUUCAUUUAUCUCAUAGAAGUUGGUCAAAUUUUCCAUUUAAAGAAGACAGUUUUAUGCCAUAGUUUCAAGUAAUGAAUUUGAACACUGUGUUGAAAUUAAGUCUUGGAUGUGAUUACUUCCAGGGAAGUAAGGACUUGGUCCAAUAGAGAUUGUUUUCAAGACAGCAUUAUUUUCCCAAAUGUGUUUGUAAUUUCCCAGUUGCUCUGCAAAAAAAAAAAAAAAAAAAAAAAAAAAAAAAAAAAAAAAAAAAAAAAAAGAGGGGGGCGGGGGUUAUCAGAAAAGAAAAAGUUGACUACUGACUUCUCAGUCUUGUAGCAACUAGCUUGGAGCAGCCUUAUCCUAUGCUUUCCCCUUCUCUGAAAACGUGAUUUUAGCUCUGUUUCUGCUUGCCAUUUUUAAAACAAAGGAAACAGCUGGCAAUUUACAGGAAGGUGCCUACAGUACAGUCGUUUCAGGUGUAGACUGUAUGAGAAAAUACAAAAUUAAAUUAAAAAACCUUAUUACAGUUUUCAUUUAACUGUUCAUUUAAACCAUCAUUAUUUGUUGUAUAUUUUUGUGUAAAAUGAGUUAUACCUCCAACGUUUCUGUUAAUGGGAAAUUGUUGUUUAAUAAAACUGACCUUUUGGCAUGGU